UUUAGAAGAGCUUCCUGCUUGCAGGAAAAAGUGCAAGGUUCCAUACAUGGGAAUUCUAACAUUUCCCUGUUACCAUGCUUUCUCACUUGUGAUAGAACUUGUGUUUCAGCCCAGAGUGGUAGCCAUGCUCUCUCCCUGAUGGCUGUACUCUAGGACUACAGCUUCCAGGAGAACACAGCUAUCUCAGAGCUUCCCCUCCAGCUACAGAGCAUGGGAAUGGCACAGCCUGGAAGUCUGACUUUAACUAUUCAACAUUGCCACUAGAUGGAAAUUCCGCUCUUAAAGUAGAUUGGAUUAGAAAGUCUGAGUAUGGAACAGAAGACCUGGCAUUGAGCCAAGACUAAGCAAUGGAGUUCAAGUAAAGAAGACAUAUUCUGAAGGAAGACAGCCACACCUCACUCUGCAGCAUGGUAUAAGUUUGCUAGGCCCAUGCCUUAAGGAAUGUACUUUGAUCAACUGUGUGGCCUUGUGGCAUGGCCUGCAAGAGAAUGUACAUCUGGCUCUCUGACUGAAAAAGCAUACUUAACACCACAAACCUCUUCACGAAAGUGCAUUUGCACAGGAAUGCUCUCAGCAAUAGUGACACUUGGCAAACAGAUGGCUCCUCCUCUGGUAUGUGACACUGACUUGAAUAUUCACUGGGAGACUUACCAAGCCAGCUUUCAUAUCCCUCCUUCACUAGAUGGUGGAGCUACAUUCUGAUUGGAUGAUUGUCCCAACUACUCUUGUCCUUCAUUCCUUUUCUUCCAGGUAAGGUUUUGGGAAGGAUUUGAUCAGGAACACCAGUGGCACCAGCAGGAGACUUGUCUCCUCUAUCAACAGUUAUCAGAGCUUAAUGAUGUCCCAUCCGCUUUCGACCAGCAAGAAUGACACGACCACCAGUUCUUCUAACAGCAGUUUAUUCAGCAAGCUUCAGUCUUCAUCUCUCUCUCUCUUCAUCUCUCUCCCUUCAUCUCUCUCUCUCUCUCAAACCCUGGGCCUCUCACUCUUAUAUACUCUCAGCCCCCAUCCACUCAUGGCAGGCCAUGUCACCUCACAAGGCACGCGGCUUCAGUUAAUCAGGGCAGCAGGGGCACGUCUCCACCAAAUAUGGACUUGUUUACACCACCAGCUCUGCAUCCCGCAGGUGCCAUCUUUCAGGUGCGGCUCGGGCAGCCCACAGCCUCCCCCAUAAUGACACAUAACUCACUCAGGUUCUGUGUCCUCACAGUUGUCACCACAGACCUUCUGAGACUGGCAUUCCUUUGACUAUAUAUUCCCAUUGGAAUAUGACAAGAACUCUAUGCCAUCCCCAUAGAACAACAGAUUUCUAACUGUAUUUGCCGAACUCAGUCAAACAAUGGUUACUGGCUGUUCCUUAUGCUUUGACUGCUUCUUGGAGACACUCAGAGCAACACAUUCUGCAAAUAUCCAGGUCCUGAUGAUGUUGUCUCACUGUUUUUUUCCCUUGGGGUAAACAGACCCAGGGAGUUCUGUCAUGUUCUAAGCGAUAUGACUCACAUGUGUCUUUGGAAACACCUUGCUAGACAUCGUCUGGUGUAAAAUGACCUUCUGAGAACGAAAUGCAGACUGUGCACAAGAGAUAAAAUAAAUAUGACCAAUCCCAAUUAAAGCACACGUCCCCAGCUCAUCUCUGAGCUAAUGUGUUCCUUAACAAGUAUUUCAUUGACUGGGCUUCACCGAAGCUUGGCAUCACAUUCACAGCAGCUGCUCAUCUGACUAGUCAAUGCCUUUCUUUUAAAGGCUCAGUGUGAGAGAGCACAUCCUGAGAGAUUUGCACCAUCAUAGGGCACCUGGCUCCUAUGGGAGACCACAUCCUGAGUCAUAGCUGGGAUCUUCAUUUGAGAACAUAGCUACUUUUCAAGUGAUAACUAAGUUGUUUUCUAGAAGAGUUGGUUAUUCUCAGAAGUUUUAUG
rnacentral:lncRNA from 1 species